AGACCCGAAACCCGGUGAUCUAGCCAUGGGCAGGUUGAAGGUUGGGUAACACUAACUGGAGGACCGAACCGACUAAUGUUGAAAAAUUAGCGGAUGACUUGUGGCUGGGGGUGAAAGGCCAAUCAAACCGGGAGAUAGCUGGUUCUCCCCGAAAGCUAUUUAGGUAGCGCCUCGUGAAUUCAUCUCCGGGGGUAGAGCACUGUUUCGGCAAGGGGGUCAUCCCGACUUACCAACCCGAUGCAAACUGCGAAUACCGGAGAAUGUUAUCACGGGAGACACACGGCGGGUGCUAACGUCCGUCGUGAAGAGGGAAACAACCCAGACCGCCAGCUAAGGUCCCAAAGUCAUGGUUAAGUGGGAAACGAUGUGGGAAGGCCCAGACAGCCAGGAUGUUGGCUUAGAAGCAGCCAUCAUUUAAAGAAAGCGUAAUAGCUCACUGGUCGAGUCGGCCUGCGCGGAAGAUGUAACGGGG
rnacentral:rRNA from 1 species